rnacentral:rRNA from 1 species
GUUACUUCGGUACAUCGGUGACAGGUGGUGCAUGGUUGUCGUCAGCUCGUGUCGUGAGAUGUUGGGUUAAGUCCCGCAACGAGCGCAACCCCUAUUGUUAGUUGCCAUCAUUCAGUUGGGCACUCUAGCGAGACUGCCGGUAAUAAACCGGAGGAAGGUGGGGAUGGCGUCAAAUCAUCAUGCCCCUUAUGACCUGGGCUACACACGUGCUACAAUGGUUGGUACAACGAGUUGCGAGUCGGUGACGGCGAGCUAAUCUCUUAAAGCCAAUCUCAGUUCGGAUUGUAGGCUGCAACUCGCCUACAUGAAGUCGGAAUCGCUAGUAAUCGCGGAUCAGCACGCCGCGGUGAAUACGUUCCCGGGCCUU